GUGGAUCCCUCGGCUUGUGGGUCGAUGAAGAACGCAGCAAAAUGCGCGUCGUUAUGUGAACUGCAGGACACAUGAACAUCGACAAUUCGAACGCAAAUGGCGGCCCUCG
rnacentral:rRNA from 1 species